rnacentral:rRNA from 1 species
UGAUGGGGAAGACCCUCCCGGGUCUUGUACACCCCGAUGCCCGCUCCGUAAUGGGAGCUUUUCUUCGGAACAUCGGUGACAGGUGGUGCAUGGUUGUCGUCAGCUCGUGUCGUGAGAUGUUGGGUUAAGUCCCGCAACGAGCGCAACCCCUAUCUUUAGUAGCCAGCAUUUAAGGUGGGCACUCUAGAGAGACUGCCAGGGAUAACCUGGAGGAAGGUGGGGAUGACGUCAAAUCAUCAUGCCCCUUAUGACCAGGGCUACACACGUGCUACAAUGGGGUACACCCUGAAGCAAAGCUGUGAGGCCGAGCAAAUCCCAAAAAGAUUCCCUUUCGGAUUGUAGUCUGCAACUCGACUACAUGAAGCUGGAAUCGCUAGUAAUCGCGAAUCU